rnacentral:rRNA from 1 species
GACGAACGCUGGCGGCGUGCUUAACACAUGCAAGUCGAACGGAAAGGCCCUGCUUUUGUGGGGUGCUCGAGUGGCGAACGGGUGAGUAACACGUGAGUAACCUGCCCUUGACUUUGGGAUAACUUCAGGAAACUGGGGCUAAUACCGGAUAGGAGCUCCUGCUGCAUGGUGGGGGUUGGAAAGUUUCGGCGGUUGGGGAUGGACUCGCGGCUUAUCAGCUUGUUGGUGGGGUAGUGGCUUACCAAGGCUUUGACGGGUAGCCGGCCUGAGAGGGAGACCGGGCACAUUGGGACUGAGAAACGGCCAAGACGCAAACGGGAGGCAGCGGUGGGGAAUAGUGCACAAUGGGCGGGAGGGUGAUGCAGCAACGCCGGGUGCGGGAGGUGGGCCUGCGGGUUGUAAAACGCUUUCGCCUGAGACGAAGGGUGAGUGACGGUAAGGGAAAAAGAAGCACCGGUUAACUACGUG